AUUUAAGUAGUUUAUAUUUAAAAUUUUGGUUUGUGGGACCAGAGAUGUGGGAUGUAUCUCACCUUAGAUC
rnacentral:tRNA from 1 species